UGGGGCACCAGCACCAGGUCCACGUCGCAGAGGUCGGGCUGGAAGAGGCGCUGCUCGUUCAGGCGGCCCAUCAAGCAGGCGAAGUGCAGCGCCACGUCCUCCACCAGCGAGAACUCGGCCGCCGGUAAUAGAAGUGAGCUGACAAAUGUGCACCGACUUUCUUCCUUACUCCAGAGUGUGGAUCUGUGUUUCAGAUGAUUCUGAAGAGGAAGAGGAAUUGGAAGAGGAAUCCGAGUCUUCUGAACGAGUUGGUUUCUUUCUCUUCUUCUCAAAAACUUUUAAGAAACAUGAACAAAAAUAUUAGUACUAUAAGAACCUACCCAUGAGA